UGAUAAAUAAAACCCUAGUUUUAAAAAGACCUAAUUCCUUUUAUCUCGAGCCGAAACCCUCUUUCUCACACGCGACGCCGCGCGAUCCUUCUCCUCUCUCGGCGGAAACGAAGAAGCAGGCGUUAGGGCUCGAUCUCUGGCGCCGGCGAAGGCUUUUCCUAGUCAAUCUUCACCCGUGCGUGGUUACCUCGACGAAGGAAGCCCGAAAACACCAAAGAGCCGCCGAGAUCUUCACCUAGAACCUACUUCCUCCUUUGGUUGGGGGCUCAUCCGAACCCUAGAAUUCUUCUCCUUCAGCAGUAAGUCCAAGAAAGCAUAUUUCUUUUUCCUCCUACUGCAAAUAAAGGAAAAGCUAAAGUAUGAAAGGAAGGCGACAAGGUGGUGGUGAUGGAGGUGUGUGAUGGCUGGACUAUGGGGAGAUCAAGACUUUCCUAUUUAGAGUUCUUUUAGUUUAAAUACUAUUAUGAAGUUGGGAUUGUAAUUGAUUUUAUUCCAUACUUGUAGCUUGAUAUGUCCUUUUGUUGGAGUUAGAUAUUUGUUUACUAUUGCUAGAAUAGUUUUCUUUUA